rnacentral:lncRNA from 1 species
GAUAACUUCCCCUUUGACCCACCGUUCGUCAGGGUUGUGUCUCCAGUCCUCUCUGGAGGGUGAGUGGCUGGGCAAAGGGAAUAGCCAUUGUGGUGCAGCAGGUGCGGAAGGGGCUGGGCCCGUGGCCGGGCACAGCUGACUAACCCUUCUUCUACAGGUAUGUUCUGGGCGGAGGUGCCAUCUGCAUGGAGCUGCUCACCAAGCAGGGCUGGAGCAGCGCCUACUCCAUAGAGUCCGUGAUCAUGCAGAUCAGCGCCACGCUGGUGAAGGGGAAGGCACGGGUGCAGUUCGGAGCCAACAAAUCUCAGUAUAGUCUGACAAGAGCACAGCAGUCCUACAAGUCCUUGGUGCAGAUCCACGAAAAAAACGGCUGGUACACACCCCCGAAGGAAGAUGGCUAACCCUGGAGUAUCAUCCCCU